UGUAUAUGAUGCCAUGGCAAUGGUUUGUUAUCUACCUCAUUAAGCCUCUGUAUGUUUUUCAUAAAUUGGUAUGUGCCUUUAAAAAGGGACAAAUUAAAACUUGUACUUUAGUUUUCUGGUUAUGGACGGAAUGGAUCAGGGGGUUUCUGAUUCAUUUUACUCAUACUUUCCUGGAUAUACAAACGAGUCUCAGAAACGACAAGAAACUUUGCGAAACCGGCAGCGCGAAAAUCAACAAAACUUUUUAAAACAUCAACUUUGAGUUGGCGUCUUGCUGCUGCUAAGUGGUAUGCAGUUUUACGCUCUGCGAGAGCUGUUGUGAAGCGCAUUGCGUUACGCAACCCAGCAUACAAGUAUCGACGCCGCUAUUCUUGGCGUAACCCAGCAUACAAAAUUGGCCAGCCACAAGUGGUACGUUAACUACCCCCGUUGUUAAGAUCGAACGUCCUCGGGUCGAAGUAAAACUUUUCCGUACCAGGAUAU